rnacentral:rRNA from 1 species
UGGGGAAUAUUGGACAAUGGGGGCAACCCUGAUCCAGCAAUGCCGCGUGUGUGAAGAAGGUCUUCGGAUUGUAAAGCACUUUCGACGGGGACGAUGAUGACGGUACCCGUAGAAGAAGCCCCGGCUAACUUCGUACCAGCAGCCGCGGUAAUACGAAGGGGGCUAGCGUUGCUCGGAAUGACUGGGCGUAAAGGGCGUGUAGGCGGUUUACACAGUCAGAUGUGAAAUCCCCGGGCUUAACCUGGGAGCUGCAUUUGAUACGUGUAGACUAGAGUGUGAGAGAGGGUUGUGGAAUUCCCAGUGUAGAGGUGAAAUU